CUUAUACUCCCUCCGUCUGGAAUUACUUGUCAUCAAAAUGGAUGGAAAUGGAUGCAUCUAAAACUAAAAUACAUCUAGAUACGUCCAUUGCAAUGACAAGUAUUUUCGGACGGAGGGAGUAUUUA
rfam:Triticum aestivum genome assembly, contig: Triticum_aestivum_CS42_TGACv1_scaffold_129286_2BL